UCAAUGAGCUUUUUACAAAAUUCUUUGUCAAAUCAAAACAACCAAGAAGCACUUUAAAAAAUGUCAGGGAAAUAUAAAUGGAUGUGAAAACCUUGAGUAUAUUAAUCAACAGAAAUAAGUUAAAUUGUAAAAGAAGAUCUGGAACCAUGACAUCCAUGAGCUCUCUAAAGAGUAAGCUACACAAACUAAAGAAGGAGGAUACCAGUGAGGUGACAGAUUAUAAAACAUGGAUGAAAAAGAUAGAUGACUGUGGGAACCGUGCUGAAGAUUGGUUAGAAUAUACAACUUACAUGAGACAAAAUCUGAACUUCAAUGAUAGGUUCCAGGCACACAACUUCCUCUCAGAUUUGUACGAGAAAGCUUUCAGGGCUAUUGAUGGAAAAGAAAACAAAGACAAUGAAGCAUUUGCUCAUCUAUUUAUAGACUUUGCUGAGGUCAAAAGUGAACAGUUACUAUUGGAAGAUGCCAUUCAGCUGCUAACAGAAGCCAGAAACAUCGUCAAAAGAUAUGCCAUAGUUCAUAUUGCUGCAGCAGAGCUAGAGGUCAAAGAGGGAAACAUUAGUAAAGCCAGAAAUAUUCUGAACAAAGCUAGAUUGUUUAAAUUUGAACCUACAGAACUUUUGGUUGAGGCUCUAAAGAAACUAGAUGCUGGAGAAACUGUUUUACUCUCACCAAGGCAUAGAAGAUACAGUUCUAGCCAAAGUAAAGUCAACCUGUCUGAUGAUAGUCAAAACAUCUUCCAUGGUGGUGCUCCUGAAGGAAAUUUACAAGAACAUAUUGGACCAGAUGAAAUGGAGACUGCACCAGUUAUGAUGGAAUCUCAUAAAGAGAAAUAUGUAACAGUUCGGGCCAAUUCCUGUAGACCUGCCAUGAGAAGCUAUAGUAGUACACCAGAAAUGAGAAAUCUCCAGUGGAAAAGGAAAGACAUAGGUGUACCACAGAGAGUACGGAAACUUAAUUUACCCUUCACAACAACAGCUGAGGAAGAAGAGGAUGAAGAGGGGGUAGAAGAUAUGGAUACUAUGGCUGGUUUUACUCCACUAGAACCUCAGGCUAGUUCAACCUUUGUUUCAAUGACCACUGCACAAAGUAGUGGUUACCAGUCCAUGAUGGAGACAACCAUUCCACUGGAAACAGGCAACCAGUUUGAAAAUAAACUUUUUCAUUCUGGAAAACAAGAAUUUGACUUGUCAGGAAUUCAUCCUCAAAAACAAGCAUUUGACUUGUCAGGAAUUUAUCCUCAGAAACAAGCGUUUGACUUGUCAGGAAUUCAUCCUCAAAAACAAGCAUUUGACUUGUCAGGAAUUUAUCCUCAGAAACAAGCAUUUGACUUGUCAGAAAUUCAUCCUCAAAAACAGAUUUUAGACAUGUCUGGAAUUCAUCCCCAACGGCAACAAUGUGACUUGUCAGGAAUUCUUUCUCAACGACAGAUUUGUGACUUGUCAGGAAAGCAAUCCAAGAACCACACAAAUAAUCUGUUAGGAAAACAGAAAGACACCCCAUCAUGUGAUAUAUCUGGAAUUGAGUCAAUGAAAGAUAGACAAACUUGUGACUUGUCAGAUAAAAAGUCUAAUGGUAUAGGUAUUCAGUCAGUCAAACAAAACGAUCGUCUGACCUGUAAUCUAUACAACAUCCAAUCAGAUGUAGUUAUGGAAGAAUCAAUAAAAGAUGUAUCAUGCUUUCAGUCUGACAAAUCAUUGAAGGAACCCACAAAGUCUGACAAUGUUUCAUUGUUACAACCAAAUGGACGACCACAGAUUAUGAAAAGUCAAGUGUUACCUAACACUAAAUCUAAUUUGGUGUCAUCUAACCAAGUUUGUGCCAAUCCAACACCCAGCAGGGGUGCCUCUAGAGUUGUUACACCAAACCAAAUGUCAGACUUUCCUACACUCAGCAGAGGUGGUCCUAUAGUGGUUUCACCAGACCAAGAAUCAGGCAAUCCUACAACCAGUGGAGGUGCUCCUAGAGUGGUCACUCCAAACCAAGUGUCCUCUAAUCCUACACCCAACAGGGGUGCUCUUAAAGUGGUUACACCAAUCCAGGUGUCAGCCAAAGUCAAUCCUAACAGAAGAGUUCCUGAAUUACCUACACCUACAUGUAAUAGAUCUAUUGAACCUACACCUAGUAAACAUGUUAUGUCUGAUAGGCUGUCUAAUGUACCAGUUUGUGCCACACCAAGUGCUGUGCAGCAGACAUCAAUACCCUGUACACCAAGUGUUAUGCAGGAUGUAGAAACUUUCACAGUAAACAACGUAGUCUACAUGAUACUGGAUUUACUUGGGAAAGGUGGCUCUAGUAAGGUGUACCAUGUACAUGAUUCCAAGCCUCCAUCUAAAGCACUCAAAGUAGUCAACCUAAAUGAUGCCAAUGAAGAAAUAGUCAAUGGUUACAAAAAUGAAGUCAAAUUACUGCUACAGUUACAGUAUUGUCCAAAAGUAAUCAAACUCUAUGAUUAUGAAUACAGACCAGAGGAAAACAAGUUAUAUAUAGUAAUGGAGUAUGGCAACUGUGACUUUGCUCAGUUUCUGAAAGAUAAAAUAAAAGAAGAUUGUAAGCUGUCAGACCAUUUGAUCAAGUAUUACUGGGAGUCUAUGUUAAUGGCUGUCCACGCUUUACAUAAAGAAGGAAUCAUUCAUUCAGACUUAAAGCCAUCAAACUUCAUCAUAAUAGGAGGUGCCUUAAAACUGAUAGACUUUGGUAUAGCUAAAUCAGUGCAACCAGAUAAAACAAGUGUUCUGACUGAAAUGCAGGUUGGCACAUUAAACUACAUGAGUCCAGAGUCUAUAGCAGAUUAUGGUUUAGAUGAGAAACCAAUGUAUAAGAUUGGUGUGAAGAGUGACGUCUGGUCCCUUGGAUGUAUUUUAUACAAUAUGGUGUAUGGUUUUACUCCAUUCCAAAGAAUCAACAGACAGUUUGCCAAACUUCAGGCUAUCACUAACUCCAGUUAUGUCAUUCAUUUCCCAGAAAUUGAGGACAAACGUCUGCUGGAUGUCAUGAAGAAAUGUUUGAUCAGAGAUCCUAAAGUUCGACCAAGCAUUGAAGAUUUACUUCACCAUCCAUAUCUGAAGAGAGAGAAAAAAGAAGAACCAUCAGUAGUGGACAAAAGAAGUAAUUGUUUUGAUCAAUAUUUUGAGCUUGCAUUUUGUUUUACUUUCAGAACCAUCAGUAGUAGACAAAAGAAUAGAGAGACUUGUAGAGAGAUUAGCAGAUAAAGUAUCUUCCCCUAAUACUCUACGCAGUCUACUAAGAAGGGAAAUAUUAAAGGGAAUGUCAGCUGAAAGAGAAUGUCCAGAAAACAAAGAAAAUGUUCAUUAACUGAAUAUUAGCAGUGUCAGUGGAGGAAGACAUGCUAUUGACAUCAUGGAGGUGUCAAUGCUUUUAAUGAGAAAAUAAGACUAGGUCUACCACCUGUGGCUGAAAUAGAUAAUGAGGAGGAAGUGCAUUUUAAUCAAAAUCAGUUUGAAGAAAAAUGGGUUUUUACAUUCUUUCUUGCUUUAAAAGCUUUGUUGAAUUUUUAUAUAACUUAUGUAAUAUAUGUUAAUCCUAUUAUUUUACAUUUAUAGAUUAUUUAAGAUUACAAGAUGAAGAGAAAUUUGUUAUUUUUUUUAAUCCAGGUUCAAAAGAUAAGACUAUAUUUGUUAUUUCUUUAAAUUAAUGGAUGGAUCAAUAGUCUAUGUGCUUCUGUCAUACAAGUGAGAGGUUAGGCUAGCUUAAGGGCAUACGAUACAGUUACAGGGGAGGUAAUGACGUUGCCAACGUAAAAUGUUAUUUUCGCGACGUCAAACUGUAACAUAUCAGAAACAGAUGCAUUUUUCGACUGA